GGGAGGUGCCUUUACUAUUAGUUUGUCUACAGCCCCAAGAGACGUGUUUAGCGUUGAAGUCGCCGGCGACGAUAGUUGAUGCACCCGGGGGGAAUAGAAGGGGGAGUUCAGAAAUGUCUCUGUCCGAAGGUGGGAGUAAAGAGGGCCGAAAGUUAAUGGAACUUCGAUGCCGACUGUUUCUAACGAGUCUGUGGCCAAGAGAUAGGCCUGUGCUUUAAAGAAUUCAUAACACCGCCGGCACUGCGGUUUUCACGGUACCUUCUGUAGGAUGAGAGACUAAUGCGUCGAAAGUUUUAUGAAAGAACUGAAAACUCAAUAUAAGUCGGUUCGUCAAAUUUAUGUAAUAAGGGAAUGUAUAAUUUGUACUGACCUUUAGUUUUUCCAUGGGCCGUUUUGACUUCGAAAGGUUCUUCGUAUAAAUAAUCAGAAAAAUAUUUGAAAGUCAAGGAAUUCAUGAUAAAAUCAGAAGCUCCACUAUCGAUUAAAAUUUUGCAGUCGUAUUCGUUUGAAUGUAUGUAUGGUAGUCUAGGUGUUUUAACGAAAGCAUUAUUAAUUUUUUCAAAAUGUCUUUCAAAAAUGUUCUAUGUAAUUUUGUCUAUUGAUGUCUGUGAACGAAAAUUUUCAUUUUCAUUUUCUUGGGUGGUAUUUUCAUCUGAAAAGGUCAGGUCUGUAGGAGGGGUAUUGUUAUCAAAAGGCUGUAUAGGUAGAUAAGCGUUUCCGUACUCAUCAGAAACGUACGGGUCUUGUUCAACAUUAGUUAAUUUUUUAACUAGGAAAUUGGGUUUUUGCUGGUUUUGGAAAUUGUUAGGUCUUUGAUUUUGAGAGUUAUUUAUUCGUCUAAAUUGGGAAACAGUUGAGUCAUAGACAUAUAUUAAUGUCGUUGUAGUAAUUUCUUGUCUCGAAAAGUGAGGGAGAUGGCGUAUAGUUUCGGACUAGUGCUACCUCUUUCAUUACACGUCUACGCACUAUCGUAAGAGAGAUGAAUAUUGCCCGAAACUUCGUUCCAUCUCUUUCUUUAGUUGUACCACAAUUCUGACCACUAAGCAUGUCCAAUAAUAAACGUCGAUGACUUGAGUAUUAUUUUAUCUAUGGUAUUAUUUUAAUGUGUAUUGCUGUUAGGAUUUCUGUGUUGUUAUUGGAAUACCAGUUAUGACUUUUUCAUCUAUUGUUGAAGCCCAUUUAGAAGUUGUCAACCAAGUAGGUUUAUGCGACUCAAAACCACUCUUGCAUAUAAAAGAAAUGAUUAUAAAUAAACCGUACCCAAUUCACACCCCAAUUGUACUUCUGUCACGAAGAAAAACGCGUCAUGGAAUUACUGUAGCUGUAGAAACUGAAAGAAACCUUUUAUGUUUACCAAAACGCAUGUACGAAACCUUUACUAAUAGAGGUUGUUAAUAAAUCAAAAUUUGCAAUUAUCCACAGAAGGAGCAAAUUCAACAAAGCAGAGGUAGUUGAAUCCAACAAAUUUAGUAUCAGGAUAUUUAAUAGCGAGUAGGUAGUAAAACUGUUAUAUGUCUAAAUACAUAUGUUAACAUCAGUAACGGUCACGGCCAGCAAUUCGUGUAUAUUAUGUACGUGUCUAGUGAACUUAUAAACUCAAGAGUAUUUUUAGUUAUUAUCAAUAGUGUAUUGGUUAUUAGUUAAUUUUAUUUUAAAAGAUUUCAUUUAGAAAACUAAGCAAGUUUACAAUUUAAUUAAGAAAAAAGCCGAAUAUCAUAAGUGGAUAAAAAUUUUAAAUAGGCAGGUACCAAAGAAACGAGGCAGGGGUCAUUUUGAUAGAAAA
rnacentral:lncRNA from 1 species